rnacentral:rRNA from 1 species
CAGUCGCCUCGGGAAUACGAAGGGGGCUAGCGUUGUUCGGAAUUACUGGGCGUAAAGGGCGCGUAGGCGGCCAUUCAAGUUAGAUGUGAAAGCCCUGGGCUCAACCUAGGAAUUGCAUUUGAUACUGUUUGGCUUGAGUUCGGGAGAGGUGAGUGGAAUUCCCAGUGUAGAGGUGAAAUUCGUAGAUAUUCGGAAGAACACCAGUGGCGAAGGCGGCUUACUGGAUCAUUCUAGACGCUGAGGUGCGAAAGCGUGGGGAGCAAACAGGAUUAGAUACCCCUGUAGUCCCUGUCUCUUAUAA